rnacentral:rRNA from 1 species
UCGUGGAGUGAUUUGUCUGCUUAAUUGCGAUAACGAACGAGACCUUAACCUGCUAAAUGGCCAGGCUAGCUUUGGCUGGUCGCCGGCUUCUUAGAGGGACUAUCGGCUCAAGCCGAUGGAAGUUUGAGGCAAUAACA